AUGAACGUUAGCGGCGCGCCUGAUGCAUGCAAGUCGAACGGUCUAUUGUUUCGCAAGAAGUAAUAGAUAGUGGCGAACGGCUGAGUAACGCGUAAGUAACCUACCUCUAAGUGGGGAAUAACCUGUCGAAAGGCAAGUUAAUACCGCAUGUGCUAACUUGUGAAAACUUGUUAGUAAAGCCUUCGGGCGCUUGGAGACGGGCUUGCGUCUGAUUAGCUAGUUGGUUGGGGUAAUGGCCUACCAAGGCGAUGAUCAGUAGCUGGUCUGAGAGGACGACCAGCCAGACAGGGACUGAGACACGGCCCUGACUCCUACGGGAGGCAGCAGCAAGGAAUUUUGCGCAAUGGGCGAAAGCCUGACGCAGCGACGCCGCGUGAGGGAUGAAGGCCUUCGGGUUGUAAACCUCUUUUCUUGAGGAAGAAUUAUGACGGUACUCAGGGAAUAAGUCUUGGCUAACUACGU
rnacentral:rRNA from 1 species